rnacentral:rRNA from 1 species
GACGAACGCUGGCGGCGUGCUUAACACAUGCAAGUCGAACGGAAAGGCCCUGCUUUUGUGGGGUGCUCGAGUGGCGAACGGGUGAGUAACACGUGAGUAACCUGCCCUUGACUUUGGGAUAACUUCAGGAAACUGGGGCUAAUACCGGAUAGGAGCUCCUGCUGCAUGGUGGGGGUUGGAAAGUUUCGGCGGUUGGGGAUGGACUCGCGGCUUAUCAGCUUGUUGGUGGGGUAGUGGCUUACCAGGGCUUUGACGGGUAGCCGGCCUGAGAGGGUGAUCGGCCACAUUGGGACUGAGAUACGGCCCAGACUCCUACGGGAGGCAGCAGUGGGGAAUAUUGCACAAUGGGCGGAAGCCUGAUGCAGCAACGCCGCGUGCGGGAUGACGGCCUUCGGGUUGUAAACCGCUUUCGCCUGUGACGAAGCGUGAGUGACGGCAAUGGGUAAAGAAGCACCGGCUAACUACGUG